rnacentral:rRNA from 1 species
AUUGAACGCUGGCGGCAGGCCUACCACAUGCAAGUCACACGAUCGGCGGACGGGUGCGUAAUGUCUGGGAAACUGCCUGAUGGAGGGGGAUAACUCCUGGACACGGUAGCUACUACAGCAUACCAUACGGAUUGCCCAUAUGGGAGUCGCUAGUUGGUAGGGUAACGGCCCACGAAGGCGCCGAUCCCUAGCGGGUCUGAGGGGGUGACCAGUCACACUGGGACUGAGACACGGGCCAGACGCCUACGUGAGGCAGCAGUGGUGAAGAUUGCACAAUGGGCGCAAGCCUGAUGCAGCCAUGCCGCGUGUAUGAAGAAGGCCUUAGGGUGGUAAAGUACUUUCAGCGGGGAGGCGUUACCCGCAGAAGAAGCACCGGCUAACGCCGUGCCAGCAGCCGCGGUAAUUC